rnacentral:rRNA from 1 species
AAGGAAUAUUGGGCAAUGGAGGCAACUCUGACCCAGCCAUCCCGCGUGAAGGAUGACGGCCCUAUGGGUUGUAAACUUCUUUUGUUUGGGAAGAAAUCAGGACAUUAAUGUGCUGUUGACGGUACCUUACGAAUAAGCACCGGCUAACUCCGUGCCAGCAGCCGCGGUAAUACGGAGGGUGCAAGCGUUAUCCGGAAUCACUGGGUUUAAAGGGUGCGUAGGCGGCUAAAUAAGUCAGAGGUGAAAGCUGGCAGCUCAACUGUCAAACUGCCUUUGAUACUGUUUGGCUUGAAUCAGGUUAAGGUAGGCAGAAUGUGGCAUGUAGCGGUGAAAUGCAUAGAUAUGCCAUAGAAUACCAAUUGCGAAGGCAGCUUGCUGGGCCUGAAUUGACGCUGAGGCACGAAAGCGUGGGGAUCAAACAGGA